GGGGGCGACUGGUUUCGACACGAUAGCUCUGAGAGAGGAAGCAGGCCGUGGUCUCCUCGCCACGUUAAACAGGGGUACCGUCAAAAUGAAUUGACAAGAAUUCUUCUUACGAGCCCCAGCUGGCUCUUGCUGCUUAAUUAAUUAGCGGCACGUCGCGCUCGGGAGGUUCCCCGGCCCGGGCCCGAUGUCAUUUGAGGGGAACGCUCCCGCGCACGUAAUCGGUAUGGCGCGGGCUAAGAUCGAACCGGUUAGGACGCCGCGAGCGUGUCGCUGCGCGCAACGCGUCCGAAUCUAAACCAGCGACUGAGCCUGGAGAUGCCGAUCAGGGGGCUUUCGUGGACCGGAGUUCGAUUCUCCGCGCCUCCACCA
rnacentral:tmRNA from 3 species